UACAGAGGUCUCAAGCGUUGUUCGGAUUUAUUGGGCGUAAAGGGCGCGUAGGCGGCGGGGUAAGUCGGGUGUGAAAUCUCAGGGCUCAACCCUGAAACUGCACUUGAUACUGCUCUGCUUGAGGGCUGGAGAGGAGACUGGAAUUCACGGUGUAGCAGUGAAAUGCGUAGAUAUCGUGAGGAAGACCAGUGGCGAAGGCGGGUCUCUGGACAGUUCCUGACGCUGAGGCACGAAGGCCAGGGGAGCAAACGGG
rnacentral:rRNA from 1 species